rnacentral:rRNA from 1 species
AGAGUUUGAUCCUGGCUCAGAGUGAACGCUGGCGGUAGGCCUAACACAUGCAAGUCGAACGGCAGCACAGUAAGAGCUUGCUCUUACGGGUGGCGAGUGGCGGACGGGUGAGGAAUACAUCGGAAUCUACUUUUUCGUGGGGGAUAACGUAGGGAAACUUACGCUAAUACCGCAUACGACCUUCGGGUGAAAGCAGGGGACCUUCGGGCCUUGCGCGAUUGAAUGAGCCGAUGUCGGAUUAGCUAGUUGGCGGGGUAAAGGCCCACCAAGGCGACGAUCCGUAGCUGGUCUGAGAGGAUGAUCAGCCACACUGGAACUGAGACACGGUCCAGACUCCUACGGGAGGCAGCAGUGGGGAAUAUUGGACAAUGGGCGCAAGCCUGAUCCAGCCAUACCGCGUGGGUGAAGAAGGCCUUCGGGUUGUAAAGCCCUUUUGUUGGGAAAGAAAAGCAGCGGGCUAAUACCUUGCUGUUCUGACGGUACCCAAAGAAUAAGCACCGGCUAACUUCGUG